rnacentral:rRNA from 1 species
CCUACGGGAGGCUGCAGUGAGGAAUAUUGGUCAAUGGCCGGAAGGCUGAACCAGCCAAGCCGCGUGAAGGACGAAGGUGCCAAGCAUUUUAAACUUCUUUUGUCAAGGGACAAAAUCAGGCUCGAGAGCCUGACCGAGGGUACUUGAAGAAAAAGCAUCGGCUAACUCGGUGCCAGCAGCGGCGGUAAUACGGGGGAUGCGAGCGUUAUCCGGAUUGAUUGGGUUUAAAGGGUGCGUAGGCGGGCUGUUAAGUCAGCGGUAAAAGCCCGGGGCUCAACCCCGGCGAGCCGUUGAAACUGGCAGUCUUGAGAUGUCGAGAGGUAUGCGGAAUGCGCAGUGUAGCGGUGAAAUGCUUAGAGAUUGCGCAGAACUCCGAUUGCGAAGGCGGCAUACCGGCGGCGAUCUGACGCUGAGGCACGAAAGCGUGGGUAUCGAACAGGAUUAGAUACCCCUGUAGUC